CAAAUCUUGCUUGUUUCCAUGAUUUCCCUGUUUUUGCUAAGUGCUAACUCACCGAACUCUAUGCUGUAUCCUGCAUGUGCUCUUUUCCACAAGAACACGAGAAAAAACAGAGAAGAAAAAUAGGGAGAGAAGAAAAGGAAGAAAGAAGAAGGUGCAAGCACUCUUCAGCACGACAGAGCACGUACGCACACGGUUGCAGUACCUGAGGGCUGAACCGCCGAGGCUUUGAACGAAGCUAGUUGUGCAGCGGAUUGGGGCCCUGGGGAACCAGCCUCUUCGACUCACCUUGCACCGCCCACGCGCCUGCGUCGCCGCCGACACCGGGCGCCGUCCGCGGCGGGGCGCGCGCUGCCCACAGCGCGCCACCGCCGUGCUCCGGCGCCACCGCCGCCACGGCUGGCUUCAGAAGUCUGCAGCUGCAGGUGACGGUGGCCAGCUCGAUCCCCAGAAACAGCAGCAACAGAAGCAUGGCCGGCGAUGGAGCGUGCCUCAUGGUGCAAGAAGAGGCGAGGAGCGGAUUGGAAGGGUGGUUUUCCUAGCUUCUCUGCGGGGUCAGCUCUGCAAGUGCAAGCUAGCAAGAGAGAUCACCAGAUGGCCGCCUGCAGCCUGCAGGUCGAUCAGCUCAUGGCUGCUCAGAAGCUUCAGAUGACCCGUGGUCUCGGGUGAAGGCGGCACAUGUUUAUAUUUUCCUUGGUUCGUGUGGG
rnacentral:lncRNA from 1 species